GCUACCUUUACCUCUGAGGUGAGAGAAUAAUCGGCGGUCUGUUCAUAUGUCGGCGCUGGCGACGUGAAGUGAUUCAGGGAGUCUUGAGUUCGAUGAGAUAGUGAUGACAGCGACACUGAAGACUACUGACGGACAGGGUAUAGUGGAUAUGGAACAUAUUCUACUUCAAGCCCCACAUCGUCCGUCAGAAGAAGCCCAAGAUGUUGGGACUACCAGUGAUUUGUACACCAGAAUGGAGUAGCAGAGCAGUUCUAUGCGAGAGGU